CAGUACCUGCUCAGAGAAUAUACACUACCCUUGCUCUGAAUACUGGACAUAUAAACAAUACUUUGAAGAAUCCAAAACAGUAGCGAAGGCCUUUAUUAGGUUAGGCCUAGAAAGAUUCCACGGUGUCUGCAUCAUGGGUUUCAACUCUCCCGAGUGGUUGAUUGCUAACUUUGGUGCCAUAUAUGCGGGUGGUAUAGCAGCAGGUGUGUACACAACCAAUUCAGCGGAGGCUUGUAGGCACCUGGCACUCAACUGCCAAGCUCAGAUCAUUCUGGUGGAAAACCAGGAGUUACUUAACAAGUUCCUCGCAGUUAAGCGCUUCCUACCUCACA